rnacentral:rRNA from 1 species
GCAGCCGCCGCGGGAAUACGUAGGGUGCAAGCGUUAAUCGGAAUUACUGGGCGUAAAGCGUGCGCAGGCGGUCCGUUAAGACAGAUGUGAAAUCCCCGGGCUUAACCUGGGAACUGCAUUUGUGACUGGCGGGCUAGAGUAUGGCAGAGGGGGGUAGAAUUCCACGUGUAGCAGUGAGAUGCGUAGAGAUGUGGAGGAAUACCGAUGGCGAAGGCAGCCCCCUGGGCCAACACUGACGCUCAUGCACGGAAGCGUGGGGAGCAAACAGGAUUAGAUACCCCCGUAGUCCCUGUCUCUUAUAC